CAUUGGAUGGCUGAUAAAGGCUGUGGUCUCUUAAAUCAUAUUAUAGUAAAUUACUUUCAAUGG
rnacentral:tRNA from 1 species